AAUGAACGUUGGCGGCGUGGAUUAGGCAUGCAAGUCGCACGAGAAAUUAAUUAGCUUGCUAAGAGGUGGACAGUGGCGCAAGGGAGAGUAACGCGUGGUUACUUGCCCUCGAGACCGGGAUAGUGUCGGGAAACUGGCAGUAAUACCGGAUAACAUCUUCGGAUCAAAUGGUGUGAUUCCGCUCGAGGAUAGGACCGCGUACUAUUAGCUUGUUGGUGAGGUAAUGGCUCACCAAGGCUUCGAUGGUUACCGGGUGUGAGAGCAUGGCCCGGCUCACUGGGACUGAGACACUGCCCAGACACCUACGGGUGGCUGCAGUCGAGAAUCUUCGGCAAUGGACGAGAGUCUGACCGAGCGACGCCGCGUGCGGGAUGAAGGCCCUCGGGUUGUAAACCGCUGUCAGUAGUUAGGAAGUCCAUGAGGGUUAUCUCUCAUGGUUGACCGAUCUUCAGAGGAAGGACGGGCUAAGUUCGUGCCAGCAGCCGCGGUAAGACGAACCGUCCAAACGUUAUUCGGUAUCACUGGGCUUAAAGCGUGCGUAGGCGGCUUGGUAGGUGAGAUGUGAAAGCCCACGGCUCAACCGUGGAAUUGCGUUUCAAACCCCCAAGCUCGAGGAAGAUAGGGGUGAUGGGAACUUAUGGUGGAGCGGUGAAAUGCGUUGAUAUCAUAGGGAACACCGGUGGCGAAAGCGCAUCACUGGAUCUUUUCUGACGCUGAGGCACGAAAGCUAGGGUAGCGAACGGG
rnacentral:rRNA from 1 species